AUGGCAAAGCAGCCAAGGUGAGGAGAUCUUGGUCAGAAAAACAGGAAGAAGAGAAGAGAAGCUUACCAAGCAACGCCAAGGCUUUUAACUUCUGUUAAAUUUGGGUGGAUCGAUGCAUCGCCGAACUAACUUAUGAAAUUGGAGAUCAGUUGAUUUGAUAAUCAUUACCUGGCUGGCAGUCCCUGACAAGUGAACUUAAUACUACGUGCAUGACAACUACACUUUGGUCUGCACUCUUGAUCUACAACUCAAAUUUCAUUGCUUCAACGAAUCAAGAGAUCUUUUCCAAGAGGAGAUGGAUCUAGCCAGGUCCUGUUGUCAUGUAAAUAUAUGGGAUUUUUUAGGGCCUAUUGCUCGAUCUCUUCUCCAUGGCCAUGCCAUCGUCGCCCCAAGCCUAGGUGAACUAUUUAUCCUUUUGAUUUCUUUACCUCCAGUUCUCCCCUUCACUUUCCAUGCUUCUCCUCCAUGUACAUACCUCAAGCUGGGGCUUGGGAAGCACCACUGAGACAGAAAGUUGGCACAAUGCUCAGUAGUUAAGAAGCAAGAAGAGAUACAGUACUCCAGUUCCUGCUCGAAUCAGUUUGGCAUAAGAGGUGGAUGAUUGGGCCAAAAUCUUCCUCUUUCGGACUUCUAUGUUUGGAACAAUAGUCUACCUGGUCAGUUAACAGAGUCAGUGGCUGUAAAGGAUUUUGGUGAUGAUUCUGGUGAACGACUAAAUGCCCAGUCUAUCUCUAUCGAAUGCAGAAUUGGUAAACCUCUCAUCUGUGGAGUGAUAUUGAUUUGUCGAUAGCUAUCAAAAGGCCAGGAACCAUCUUGCGCUCAACCAGAUUCAUGUUCUUUGAUUCCCUUUUCCAUCAAGGUCACCGUGCAGCCGCCCGAUUUCAGCGAUUGCAACCAUGGAUUUCGCGUCCCUAUUUCGCCCGCCUCCCCCGCGCACGGGAUUGACUCUGCCCCUGCCUCCGUGUUCCGCUUCCCCAUGCGUCCCCUGCCUUUGCCUCCGCCUGUGUAUACCUCGCCCCUGCCUGCUUGCAGCUCUAGAGGGGAGGUGUGGAGCCAGGGGAGGGGAACGGGUGAAUAAGGGAGGAUGAGACGGUGAGAGCGAGCAAAACAAGAGGACGAGAGAUAUGGUGAAUCGGGACACGUUGGGAGACACACGAUCUCUCACGAUCCAAUGACCCCGCGCGCGAUCCGCUGACUUUGUCGGUCGGACGGGUAGAAUCGUUUGCCUAGAAUUAAUGUAUUGUAGUUGAGACGUGUGUUGCACGUGCAAGCUUACUAGUGUAAUAUAGACGCUCGAUUUUCUUUAUAGCGAAGCACCCUGGGCCGGCGGUUGGGCCAGCGUGGCCUGCAAUUUGUUUUUCCGUUUCGCUUUUUAUCAGCGCACGCGCUGGGGCUCGUUCGUUGCCCAGGUUUUUUUGAGA